CCCUAUGAUGGUGAUGGGGUGCCACCAAUGCUUGCAGAUUUCCGGGAUUAAUACUGGUUUUCACAACACAACCGCCGGGACUUUCUGGCUGAUGACUCCUGUUUCAAG
rnacentral:ncRNA from 1 species